rnacentral:rRNA from 1 species
GGUUAAGCGACUAAGCGUACACGGUGGAUGCCCUGGCAGUCAGAGGCGAUGAAGGACGUGCUAAUCUGCGAAAAGCGUCGGUAAGGUGAUAUGAACCGUUAUAACCGGCGAUGUCCAAAUGGGGAAACCCAGUGCAAUUCGUUGCACUAUCGUUAACUGAAUACAUAGGUUAACGAGGCGAACCGGGGGAACUGAAACAUCUAAGUACCCCGAGAAAAAGAA